rnacentral:rRNA from 1 species
GUCUUCUUGUUAUUUAUAUGAAGUCUGGUCUGCCCACUGAAUUAUUGAAGGGCCGCGGUAUUUUGACCGUGCAAAGGUAGCAUAAUCAUUAGUCUUUUAAUUGGGGGCUGGAAUGAAGGGCUGCACGAGGUAUAGGCUGUCUUAUUUGAAUUGUUGUUAGAAUUUAAUUUUUAAGUUAAAAAGCUUAAAUUUUUUUGAAGGACGAGAAGACCCUAUAGAACUUUAUAUAUAUUUAAUAUAAAUGGUUUUUGGUUGUUUUUAUAUUUAUUUAUUUUUAUAUUUUGUUGGGGUGAUAGGAAAAUAAUAUUAACUUUUUUUAUUGACUUACAUUGAUUUAUGGUUAUUUGAUCCAUUUUUAGUGAUUAUAAGAUUAAGUUACCUUAGGGAUAACAGCGUAAUUUUUCUUUAGAGUUCUUAUCGACAGGAAAGUUUGCGACCUCGAUGUUGGAUUAAGAUUAAUUUUUGGUGUAGAAGCUUAAAUAUUAGGUCUGUUCGACCUUUAAAUUCUUACA